UACGUAGGGGGCAAGCGUUGUCCGGAUUCAUUGGGCGUAAAGAGCGUGUAGGCGGCCAGGUAGGUCGGUUGUGAAAACUGGAGGCUCAACCUUCAGAGGUCGACCGAAACCAUCUGGCUAGAGUCCGGGAGAGGAGAGUGGAAUUCCGGGUGUAGCGGUGGAAUGCGUAGAGAUCCGGAAGAACACCGGUGGCGAAGGCGGUCUGCUGGGGUCGAACUGACGCUGAGGCGCGACAGCGUGGGGAGCAAACAGG
rnacentral:rRNA from 1 species